AAACAUCCAAAGAGUAGUAAGGAAUUACCAAAACAACAAACUAGCCAUGCUGGCUCUUUGAAUGUCAAAGAAAUGUACAUGAUGAUUAGAAAAGUCAACAAAUUGUUAUUAGACUCAGAAUGGAGUUUAAGCUCUCUUCACCAAACACCACCAUUAUCCCCAGCAUUGCCAACCCCAUCAGAGCUCCUCCCAUUGAUGUUUUUGCUUUCUCAGCUGUUGUGAAUUAGUUCUGGAGAUAAUCAGACACUUUGCAUACCAUGUCAUUGUCUGUAAGCUUUAUCUGCAGAAAGAAAACCCAUGAAAAUAAAAACACCAUGUCUCGAGUGCGAUUACCCAGCAACUGCAGUACCAUUUGCUAACUCUACCACUUCUUCACCCAGUCUCCUCAGCUUCAAAACCAAAACUAUAGCACAAUUUGAUUAGUAUCCAGUAGACUAGAGAACUGAUGGAAGGCAUGGGGGAAACAAAAGAUAAACUCAAGGAAUAAUUAUUACCUUUCUGGUGUGAUUGGAGGAAAUUACUAACGGCUGCAUUUGGCAUCAUAAUAAUCCAUAUAUUUGGGUCACAUACAAUAGAAGCCACAACAGUUUGGUUAAAACCAAAGACAAGUGGAGUUCAAUUAAAUCAACAAAUGAACCAGAGUCUCAAUAUAAUAAACUUAUUAGGCAGUACCUCUCAUUUAGACAUAAAACAUUACCAAUUUGCAAUAAGAACCUGAAAAGACUGAAGGGCAUGCUUUGGCACUGAAAGAUAUGAAAUAGCCUCAGGCACACAAGAUUUUGUCUCCGGCUCAGAAGUAGUCAGAGGCAGAACAAAGACUUGACUACCAGGAGAUGAACCCCCUCACAUUGAGAAGAAUAAUAGGAAAGGUAUGUUCUGAUAAAAUUAUAAAUAUCAUAUGAUAGAUAUAACAUUGAACAUCUGUUCUGAAAGAUUAAUUCAUGAAGAUCUUCUCU
rnacentral:lncRNA from 1 species